GUGUGUGAGAGCAACAUGGCUGUGGCAUCUAUCACCCCAUUGAUAGCCAAAGCUGACUGAGCUGAUCUGAUUGACUAUGGGUGUCCCCUCCUUCCUCAUUGCUCCAUGUUAUAUGUUUUAUGGCUGCUCCCCACCCACACCCGUUCCUCGUCCCAAGUUGUGCACUCUGCAGAAAAGAACAAACUUCUCCAGUCGAAGAUCAAGGACCCACGCUGGCAAGAUAACUCUUCUGGGAAGGUGCGUGUUUUGCAAUGUCUGUAACAAAUUUGCAAUGCAGGCUCAAACCCAGUUCUCACUGCACAGGGAAAUGCUUAGGUUCUGAGAUAUCUUUCCAUCUGAAAAGCGUGACCCAGAGUAGUGAAGCAAAAAAAUAAACUAAAUAAAUAAAUAAAACAAGUGUUAUAGGAGUAGCUGUGUUACCUUGUUAUAAUCUCCAAACAAACUCUCAAGAUCCAUUUGUAUGUAGGUAGUCAGUCUUCCAAAAUUCCAAAAACAUUCAGAUUCUGAAUUCU
rnacentral:snRNA from 1 species